UUUGGCUGGAUUUCCUGCUGACCUGUGACUCCUGGGCUACCAGGGACAUGAUGUGGACCAGGCAUCUCUUUUGGCAGAGAUUCUGUCGCCUGACAACGAAUUCUGGAGCAGUGACUUAGGAAAAGCAAUAAGGUGUUCAAGCAAGCUGCUGUCCCCGUAAAGUUGCACAGAGCAGCCAAGAUGGAAGAAGACCCAUCUAGGCCCCCUCUGGGGAAGGGCUAUGACUUUCCUUGGGUUUUCUGCACAGCCCAUUUCAAAGAGGACAGAGCCACCAUUCCCACUGACAAUUCUCACAGGUCACAGAGGCUUUUUGUGUGUUGUGUAUUUUAUCCUGACUCACUGCAAAAUGAAAUACUUGCAAAUGGCCCAAUAGUGUUAGCUUUCAUUGGAGAUGUACAAAAAGCCAAUCGAUACCGAAGCAGUAAGAAAUUUAUAAGGGCUGGUUGGUCACCAUGGGUAGCACUGACAGAGUGUUUAUCAGUGUGUGUGCCUUUAUCAUUAAAUGGGAAAAGACACUUUAAAUUGUAUACACGGGUACCUAUAGUUUUUCUCCUAGGGUGCCUGUGCAAGUAUCUCUUCAGCUACUCUUUCUGAAGCUUAUAAAUUACUUUUGAACUGCAACCUACUUUACCCAAUUUUAAUAAA